rnacentral:rRNA from 1 species
UACGGGGGGGGGCAAGCGUUGUUCGGGAAUUACUGGGCGUAAAGGGCUCGUAGGCGGCCAACUAAGUCGGAUGUGAAAUCCCCAGGCUUAACUUGGGGAACGCAUCCGAUCUGGAUGGCUUGAAUCCGGGAGAGGGAUGCGGAAUUCCAGGUGUAGCGGUGAAAUGCGUAGAUAUCUGGAGGAACACCGUGGCGGAAGGGCGGCAUCCUGGAC